CAGUCGCCACGGGAACACGAAGGGGGCUAGCGUUGCUCGGAAUCACUGGGCGUAAAGGGUGCGUAGGCGGGUCUUUAAGUCAGGGGUGAAAUCCUGGAGCUCAACUCCAGAACUGCCUUUGAUACUGAAGAUCUUGAGUUCGGGAGAGGUGAGUGGAAUUGCGAGUGUAGAGGUGAAAUUCGUAGAUAUUCGCAAGAACACCAGUGGCGAAGGCGGCUCACUGGCCCGAUACUGACGCUGAGGCACGAAAGCGUGGGGAGCAAACAGGAUUAGAUACCCCUGUAGUCCCUGUCUCUUAUAC
rnacentral:rRNA from 1 species